rnacentral:rRNA from 1 species
GGCGAACGGGUGAGUAACACGUGGGCAAUCUGCCCUUCACUCUGGGACAAGCCCUGGAAACGGGGUCUAAUACCGGAUACGACGCGCUCGGGCAUCCGAUGUGCGUGGAAAGCUCCGGCGGUGAAGGAUGAGCCCGCGGCCUAUCAGCUUGUUGGUGAGGUAACGGCUCACCAAGGCGACGACGGGUAGCCGGCCUGAGAGGGCGACCGGCCACACUGGGACUGAGACACGGCCCAGACUCCUACGGGAGGCAGCAGUGGGGAAUAUUGCACAAUGGGCGAAAGCCUGAUGCAGCGACGCCGCGUGAGGGAUGACGGCCUUCGGGUUGUAAACCUCUUUCAGCAGGGAAGAAGCGAAAGUGACGGUACCUGCAGAAGAAGCGCCGGCUAACUACGUGCCAGCAGCCGCGGUAAUACGUAGGGCGCGAGCGUUGUCCGGAAUUAUUGGGCGUAAAGAGCUCGUAAGCGGUCUGUCGCGUCGGAUGUGAAAGCCCGGGGCUUAACCCCGGGUCUGCAUUCGAUACGGGCAGACUAGAGUGUGGUA